rnacentral:rRNA from 1 species
CAAGUCGAAUGCGAACGUAGCAAUACUAGUAGCAUGGCGAAAGGGAUAGUAAUGCAUGGGCAAUCUACCCUCGACUCUGGGAUAUGCGGCGGAAACGCCGAGUAAUACUAGACACCGUUAUCGAAGGACAUCCUUUGACAACGAAAGGUCCGCCGGUCGAGGAGGAGCUCAUGUCCUAUCAGCUAGUUGGUGGGGUAACGGCUCACCAAGGCGAGGACGGGUAGCGGGUGUGAGAGCACGACCCGCAUCACUGGCACUGAGACACUGGCCAGACUCCUACGGGAGGCUGCAGUCGAGAAUCUUCGUCAAUGGGGGAAACCCUGAACGAGCGACGCCGCGUGGAGGAUGAAGGCCUUCGGGUUGUAAACUCCUGUUGGGAGGGAGCAAAUUUUGAGCGACCUCCUGAGGAAGCACGGGCUAAGUUCGUGCCAGCAGCCGCGGUAAGACGAACCGUGCGAACGUUAUUCGGAAUCAUUGGGCUUAAAGGGCGCGUAGGCGGCGGUGUAAGUUGGAAGUGAAAUCCCAUCGGCUCAACCGUGGAAUUGCUCCCAGUACUGCAUCGCUCGAGGGGGAUAGGGGUCUGCGGAACUACCGGUGGAGCGGUGAAAUGUGUUGAUAUCGGUGGGAACGCCAGUGGCGAAAGCGGCAGACUUGACCCUUCCUGACGCUGAGGCGCGAAAGCUAGGGGAGCAAACGGGAUUAGAUACCCCGGUAGUCCUAGCCUUAAACGUUGGGUACUGAGUAGAAAGGGGACCGAUACCCCCUUCUGCUGGAGCGAAAGUGUUAAGUACCCCGCCUGGGGAGUAUGGUCGCAAGGCUGAAACUCAAAGGAAUUGACGGGGGCUC